rnacentral:misc_RNA from 1 species
AAAUGCUGGGAAACUCAUUGUUGUAAGCUUCAUUACCUUCUUCUAAUUGGUAUUCAAACUGCUUUGGAAUUUGCUUGUUAGUUUGACUAAAGUGAAGGAGUUCUAUCAUGAUUGUGCACCAAUAUAUUGAAUGGUUGUUGUGUGUAUAACUUUGAUAUCAAACUCCAUUAAUCAUGUAACUUUUUUCACUUGCAGGUGAUAUGCCCUAGUUCUGGAGA